rnacentral:rRNA from 1 species
GACGAACGCUGGCGGCGUGCUUAACACAUGCCAGUCGAACGGAAAGGCCCUGCUUGCAGGGUACUCGAGUGGCGAACGGGUGAGUAACACGUGGGUGAUCUGCCCUGCACUUCGGGAUAAGUCUGGGAAACUGGGUCUAAUACCGGAUAGGAGCCAUCUUUAGUGUGAUGGUUGGAAAGUUUUUUCGGUGUAGGAUGAGCUCGCGGCCUAUCAGCUUGUUGGUGGGGUAAUGGCCUACCAAGGCGGCGACGGGUAGCCGGCCUGAGAGGGUGGACGGCCACAUUGGGACUGAGAUACGGCCCAGACGCCUACGGGAGGCAGCAGUGGGGAAUAUUGCACAAGGGGCGCAAGCCUGAUGCAGCGACGCCGCGUGGGGGAGGACGGCCUUCGGGUUGUAAACUCCUUUCGCUAGGGACGAAGCUUUUUGUGACGGUACCUAGAGAAGAAGCACCGGCUAACUACGUG